rnacentral:tRNA from 1 species
UCCCUAGAGACUUAGAUGGUAAAGAAUCUGCCUGCAAUGCAAGAGACCUGGGUUUGAUCCCUGGCUUGGGAA